rnacentral:rRNA from 1 species
UGGGGAAUUUUGGACAAUGGGCGAAAGCCUGAUCCAGCAAUGCCGCGUGAGUGAAGAAGGCCUUCGGGUUGUAAAGCUCUUUUGUCAGGGAAGAAACGGUGAGAGCUAAUAUCUCUUGCUAAUGACGGUACCUGAAGAAUAAGCACCGGCUAACUACGUGCCAGCAGCCGCGGUAAUACGUAGGGUGCAAGCGUUAAUCGGAAUUACUGGGCGUAAAGCGUGCGCAGGCGGUUUUGUAAGUCUGAUGUGAAAUCCCCGGGCUCAACCUGGGAAUUGCAUUGGAGACUGCAAGGCUAGAAUCUGGCAGAGGGGGGUAGAAUUCCACGUGUAGCAGUGAAAUGCGUAGAUAUGUGGAGGAACACCGAUGGCGAAGGCAGCCCCCUGGGUCAAGAUUGACGCUCAUGCACGAAAGCGUGGGGAGCAAACAGGAUUAGAUACCCUCGUAGUCCCUGAGCGGGCUGGCAAGGCGCAU